GGCUAGUUGCCACUAUUUUUAUUAUUUGAUAAAACGGUUCAUUACGAUUAUAUUACACCAUAAAAAAAAUAUGAAUUUUUUUUGAAGUACCUAUCCUAAUAUAUUUUAAAUUUUAAAUUAUAUUUUAUCUAUACAGCCAUAAACGCCGUCCGCCAUGAUGGUCUAUUAAUUAUCUGUGCCGUGACGUCACUAUUCUUGUAAACAAUACGCGUGAAUAACAUAACCUUUUUAUCGGAAUUUAAAACCAUGGCUUCGAAAGGAUUACAUGAUAAAUAUAGUAAUUACCACUAUUGUAUCGUGCGGGAAUGUCACAAUACAUCAAUAAAGAACCCAGAGAACUUGUGGAUUAAAGUACCCAGUGAUGAGAAUAAUAUGCGGAACUCCUGGUUACAACUAGCUAAAAGAGAUCCCGUACCGUAACUCUGUCCAGUUGAACUGCAGUGUAUUUCUGUGAAGAUCACUCUAAUGUACGUACAAUAAACUAACAGCAGAUUAUUUUUUCAAUUUUCACUUUAAACGUUCAGAAUUGCCUAAGGAGGAUGCUGUACCAUUCUUCUGUUGAGGAUAAGAUUUGUGACAAAAUAAUGCAAGCAGAACAAUGUAAUCCUCACUUCAGAGAUAAGGCAGUGCAAGCUGAGCCAGAACAUGCAUCAUGCCAAGUAGUUUCAAAUUAUGAUCACAAGGUCACUCAAGUAUCAAUAAUGAAACACUAUAGAAGUAAGAAGGUGCAAUUUAGUGCAACUCUGAAAGAUGUCAUAUCUUCACCAAUAAAGUCUACGUCCCACCAAUCAACUACAACAUCUCCCAAGAAAUCUACAUUUAGAAGUAAAUUGUCAACAAGAUUAGUUUUUUCAAGUGAGGAAAAAUAUGACAGUGAUUAUCAUACACACCUUCUUCAGGAUAGCAAAUUUACAAGACUCUCAUUCAAUAAAUUAAAUGAUACAUACAUAAA